GUAAAGGGUGCGUAGGCGUCCCGCCCCGUUUCUCGUUAAAGCCCAGAGCUCAACUCUGGUACGGCGAGUAAUACAGGCGGGAUCGAGGGUGCGAGAGGUGUACGGAACCCAUGGUGUAGAGGUGAAAUUCGUUGAUAUCAUGAGGAACGCCAAAGGCGAAGGCAGUACACUGGCGCAUUCCUGACGCUGAGGCACGACAGCCAGGGGAGAGAAGUGGAUUAGAUACCCACGUAUUCCUAGCCAUAAACGAUGUCCGCUAGCUUUUGGGAGUAUCGACCCUCUCAGAGGCGAAGCUAACGCGUUAAGCGGACCGCCUGGGUAGUACGGUCGCAAGACUAAAACUCAAAGGAAUAGACGGGGGCUUGCACAAGCAGUGGAGCAUGUGGUUUAAUUCGACGAUAAGCGAAGAACCUUACCGGGGUUAGACACCCAACUGUGCCCUGAUGGAAACAUCGGGGGUCUCCGAGAUCGUUGGGCAGGUGUUGCAUGGCCGUCGUCAGCUCGUGGCUUGAGCUGUUCCCUUAAGUGGGGCAACGAGCGCAACCCUCAUUGCCUGUUAUACGUGUCAGGCGAGACCGCCCGGUCUUCCGGGAGGAAGGAGGGGAUGACGCCAGGUCAGCAUGACCCUAGACACCCCGGGCGACACACAUGCUACAAUGGCAGGGACAACGGGACGCGAUGCCGCAAGGCGGAGCUAAUCCUUAGAAACCCUGCCCCAGUUCGGAUUGAGGUCUGCAACCCGACCUCAUGAAGUUGGAAUUGCUAGUAAUC
rnacentral:rRNA from 1 species